rnacentral:rRNA from 1 species
AUUGAACGCUGGCGGCAGGCCUAACACAUGCAAGUCGAGCGGAUGAAGGGAGCUUGCUCCUGGCUUCAGCGGCGGACGGGUGAGUAAUGCCUAGGAAUCUGCCUGGUAGUGGGGGCUAACGUCCGGAAACGGGCGCUAAUACCGCAUACGUCCUGAGGGAGAAAGUGGGGGAUCUUCGGACCUCACGCUAUCAGAUGAGCCUAGGUCGGAUUAGCUAGUUGGUGGGGUAAAGGCCUACCAAGGCGACGAUCCGUAACUGGUCUGAGAGGAUGAUCAGUCACACUGGAACUGAGACACGGUCCAGACUCCUACGGGAGGCAGCAGUGGGGAAUAUUGGGCAAUGGGCGAAAGCCUGAUCGAGCCAUGCCGCGUGUGUGAAGAAGGUCUUCGGAUCGUAAAGCUCUGUAAGUUGGGAGGAAGGGCAGUAUGUGAAUACCUUGCUGUUUUGACGGUACCAACUGAAUAAGCACCGGCUAACUUCGUG